UUAUAAAUAUAUUAUAUUGUCUGGUUAUUAACAUUAUCUUUAAUUUUAGGUUUUUGUAAAAAUAGGUUUAAAUUUUUGACGUGGUAGGUUACCAUGGCAACUAAGAGCGAAGAAGAGGAAAAAGAUGAAUCAGCAAAUUCUUGGUGGGGUUCGUGGUAUGACUCAGCAAAAAAAAAACUUGUUGAAACGAAUGAGUUUAUCGCUCGAGAUUUGAAGGAAUUUACGCAAGUCGUUAAAGAUGACACGUCAAAAUUUGUCGCACAAACUGCUAUUUCUAUGAAAGACCAGCUAAACAUAAAGGCAAACGUGGAAGAAGCAUCGGAAGCCACGAAAGUCGUCGCGACCUCCAUCAGUGGAUUCCUGGGUAGCGUGGUUAAGCAUGUGACACCGUCACCCCCGGAUCAGGAUGAAAAUGCCGAUUCAACGAUGUUCGUUGGAACACAAUCUGGAAUGAAAGUUAUUUCACCGGCCGAGGCACGAUUGUUCUCGAUACAAACCGACCCCGCUACUUAUUGUAAUGAACCUGAUAACACCCCCGAGUUCCACCAAUGGUUGGAAACGUUCGAACUUUCCGAGAAAAAAGAAGAAUUAUCGCUGUUGAUGUUGGAUUAUAAAGAGGUCCGAACCUUAUACACCCGAUUGGUCCCCGAUGCAGUAUCUCAUGUUGAUUUCUGGCAACGAUAUUUCUACAAGAAGUAUUGUUUGGAUGAAGCGGAGAAACGUCGUGCUCUGUUGGUCGAACGAGCAGCAAAAAAAGAAACCGAACUUUCGUGGGGAGAUGAUGACGAUUAUGAUUGUGUUGAAUCUGAUGUUGUCAUGGUGAUACCACCUGUUGUUAAUGAUGUCACUAAGGAAACUGAUGAUGUCACUAAGGAAACUGAUGAUGUCACUAAGGAAACUGAUGAUGUCACUAAGGAAACUGAUGAUGUCAUAGUUGAAGCUGAUGAUGUCACUACGAAAGUCACUGCUAAUACUGAUGAUGUCAUCAAUAAAGUUGAUGAUGUCACCACUGAUGAUGUCACUGCCACAAAUGAGAAAUCAUCUGAAGACAAGACAACCGAUUGUGAUGUAACAAAGGAAAAACAAUCAGAAUCUGACAAACUAUUAAAAGACAAUGAUGUCAUAAUUACUACUGAUGAUGUCACAAAAGAAGCUGAUUGUUCUACAAAAGACAGCAUUGUUACAUCACAGACAGUAAAAGUUGAUUGUGAUGUCAUAAACAAGGAGAGUGAUGCAACAGAUGCGAAAACAAACGUUGAAACGAAAGAUAAAUUUCGAUGAAACGCUUUUGUCCACAGCUCCAGUUUCAGAAUCAACUAGCAAUGAAAGUUCGGAUUGGGAAAAAGAAUUUGAUCUUGAAUUGAAUGAUAAAGAUGAAUUGUUACAAGAUAUUGGAGAUGAGGAGAUUGAGGGGUGGGACGAGUGGGAGUAAUUUCUUUGUUUCUUUCUUUAUCUUUGGUGUGUACAUUGUUGAGAUUUUAUAUUUGCUGUUUAUUGCUUUAUAUUAUGCGCAAGAGGUUUAUGGGCACCAGGUUGUGUUAGAAAAUUAUUUGAUAACGAAAAUAUUCUGUAUUGGUGAGGUCAAACAGCGAGACACGCCCUGGGACUUAAGAUUUCUACCACAGUUGUUCCAUUACCACACUUUUACACAUAAAUAUUGGCAUGGCUUAAAAAUGCACAGAGUGUUGUUUAUAUAUAGGGAACAUUGUUUAAGCAAAGAUAUUUUUCUUAUUUGUUAAUUACAAGAUUACUGUAUUAAUAUAUCGGUGUUUCUCAUAAUAAGAUCGCUUUCUGUCUUUAUGAAACACAUUAAAAGAUUUUGUACAAAAUGUUUGGUGUUAAAAAUAAAAUUGUGUUGAGUA